rnacentral:rRNA from 1 species
UACGUAGGUGGCAAGCGUUGUCCGGAUUUACUGGGUGUAAAGGGCAUGUAGCCGGGCUGACAAGUCAGAUGUGAAAUUCCGGGGCUCAACCCCGGACCUGCAUUUGAAACUGUUGGUCUUGAGUAUCGGAGAGGCAGGCGGAAUUCCUAGUGUAGCGGUGAAAUGCGUAGAUAUUAGGAGGAACACCAGUGGCGAAGGCGGCCUGCUGGACGACAACUGACGGUGAGGCGCGAAAGCGUGGGGAGCAAACAGG